ensembl:snRNA U6 U6 spliceosomal RNA
GUGCUCACUUGGGCAGCACAUAUACUAAAAUCAGAACAACACAGAGAAAAUUAGCAUGAGCUCUGCACAAGGAUGACUCGCAAAUUCGUAAAGCAGCGAUCAUAUUU